rnacentral:rRNA from 1 species
GACAGAGGCCUCAAGCGUUAGGCGGAAUCACUGGGCUUAAAGCGUGUGUAGGCGGAUCGUUAAGUGUCUUGUGAAAUCCCACGGCUCACCCGUGGAACUGCUGGGCAUACUGGCGAUCUUGGGCCAACUAGGGGCAACUGGAACAAGCGGUGGAGCGGUGAAAUGCGUAGAUAUCGCUUGGAACGCCAACGGUGAAAACAGGUUGCUGGGGUUGUGCCGACGCUGAGACACGAAAGCCCAGGGGAGCAAACGGG